AUUCCCGUUGAUCCUGCGGGAGAUUGCUGCUAUUGGGAUUCGACUAAGCCAUGCAAGUCUUCUAGCAAUAGAGGCGAAAGGCUCAGUAACCCGUCAGUAACCUGCCCUAUGGUCAGGCAUAACCUCGCGAAAGUGAGGGUAAAACCUGAUAAGGAACAAGCCCUGGAACAGGCUCUUCCUGAAACUCGUGCCAUAGGAUGGGCUGGCGGCGGAUUAGGCUGUUGGCGGUGUAAUGAUGCACAAAAGCAGACUGGCUGUGUGCUUUACAAGACCACCAAACCUAAGAUCCGUACGGGCCAUGAGAGUGGUAGCCCGGAGAGGGACACUGAGAUACUGGUCCCAGCCCUACGGGGUGCAGCAGGCGCGAAACCUUUACAAUGCACGCAAGUGUGAUAAGGGGAUCCCAAGUGCUUAUCAUUGAUAGGCUUUUGCCAAGUGUAAAAAGCUUGGCGAAUAAGGGGUGGGUAAGACUGGUGCCAGCCGCCGCGGUAACACCAGCGCCCCGAGUGGCGAUCGCGAUUAUUGGGCCUAAAGCGUCCGUAGCAGGUCUUGUAAAUCCUUUGUGAAAUCGGCGAGCUUAACUUGUCGGCGUGCAGAGGACACUGCAGGACUCGAGACCGGGAGAAGUCAGAAGUAUUUCCUGGGUACCGGUAAAAUGGGUUAAUCCAGGGAGGACUACCAAUGGCGAAGGCAUCUGGCCAGAACGGAUUUGACUGUGAGGGACGAAAGCUAGGGGAGCCAAACGGAUUAGAUACCCGAGUAGUCCUAGCUGUAAACGCUGCGAGCAAGGUAUUGCGCACCCCACGAGGAUGCGCAGUGUCGAAGAGAAGUCGUUAAGCUCGCCGCCAGGGAAGUACGGUCGCAAGGCUGAAACCAUUAGUGAGGCAAAUUGCUCUUACUAAGGCAGUUGACUUUAAGGAAUUGGCGGGGGAGCACCACAAGGGGUGCGGCGUGCGGUUCAAUCUAACUCAACGCAGAGAACCUCACUAGAGCCGACGGCAGAAUGAAGGACAUGCUGAAGACAUUUCCUGACAAGCCGAGAGGUAGUGCAUGGCCGUCGUCAGCUCGUGCUGUGAAGUGUCCAGUUAUGAAAUACAAGGUGUUUCACACCGAAAGCCUUGGUUUCGCUGUGAGUCUGGCAACGAGCGAGACCUGUACCCUCUAUUGCUAACAACCACUUCGGUGGGAUUGAGCACUUUGAGGGGACUGCCCUGGAAACAGGGAGGAAGGUGCAGGCUACGGUAGGUCUGUAUGCUCCGACUGCUCUAGGCGACACGCGCGCAACAAUGGUAUGGACAAUGGGAUGCCACUCCGAAAGGAGGAGCUAAACCUCUAAACCAUAUCUUAGUUCAGAUCGAGGCUUGUAACCCAGCCUCGUGACGCUGGAAUCCCUAGUAAUCGGAUAUCAUCAUUAUCCGGUGAAUAUGUCCCUGUCUCUUGCACACACCGCCCGUCAAACCACCCGAGCAGGGUUUAGGUGAAUCUCAACUUUUUUGGUUGUGCUGAACCUGAGCUCAGUGAGGUGGGUUAAGUCGUCACAAGGUCACCGUAGGGGAACCUGCGGUGGGAU
rnacentral:rRNA from 1 species